rnacentral:rRNA from 1 species
GUCCACGCCGUAAACUAUGAACGCUAGCCGUUGGCCAGCUUGCUGGUCAGUGGCGCAGCUAACGCAUUAAGCGUUCCGCCUGGGGAGUACGGCCGCAAGGUUGAAACUCAAAGGAAUUGACGGGGGCCCGCACAAGCGGUGGAGCAUGUGGUUUAAUUCGACGCAACGCGCAGAACCUUACCAGGGUUUGACAUCCUGUGCUCGCCGGAGAGAUCCGGUUUCCCCGCAAGGGGCGCAGAGACAGGUGCUGCAUGGCUGUCGU